GACAGAGGGUGCAAACGUUGCUCGGAAUUACUGGGCGUAAAGCGCGUGUAGGUGGAUUGGUGUGUCAGAUGUGAAAUCCCUGGGCUCAACCCAGGAACUGCACCUGAAACUACCAGUCUUGAGUGGUGGAGAGGGAAGUGGAAUUCCUGGUGUAGAGGUGAAAUUCGUAGAUAUUCGGAGGAACACCAGUGGCGAAGGCGGCUCACUGGCUCGAUACUGACGCUGAGGUGCGAAAGCGUGGGGAGCAAACAGG
rnacentral:rRNA from 1 species